CUUGUUGCGUCUGCUACAUGCUGUUGCAUCGCAAACAACCCAGAACUCCCCUGAAGAAGUCAAAUAACAGCCCUGACGUCACUCUGCGGGAGAACAGUUUCAAGGUGGAAGGGGAGGAUUCAGCUGGAUGGAGGUGAACAGGGAGGAGUGGAGGAAGAGGAGGAGGAGGAGAACGAGGAUUAUGCAAACAGACUUCUGACUAAGCCUGGUGGAGGGAUGAGGCCUCGGCCUGAGAAGAACCGUACAAUAUGGGUGCAGAUGGAAUAAGUUUUGCAGAUUCUCUGGAUGAAAUGGAGACACUGGAAUCGGAGAGGACAAUGAGGAGUUUUUCUCAGAUGCUGUCGCUGAGGAAGAGCAUCACAAAGUUCUUUGUCAGAGUUAUGAGAAGUCUGUCCGUCAUCCUGGGAUCUACAGAGGCAAGCGGAGUGCCGGUGUCGGCCAUGAAGCUG